AAGUGGGAUGACGUCAAAUCAUCAUGCCCCUUAUGUUCUGGGCCACACACGUGCUACAAUGGCCGGUACAGACGGAGGCGAAGCCGCGAGGCGGAGCAAAUCCGAAAAAGCCGGUCUCAGUUCGGAUUGCAGGCUGCAAUUCGCCUGCAUGAAGUCGGAAUCGCUAGUAAUCGCAGGUCAGCAUACUGCGGUGAAUACGUUCCCGGGCCUU
rnacentral:rRNA from 1 species